rnacentral:rRNA from 1 species
UCGGGAAUUUUGGGCAAUGGGCGAAAGCCUGACCCAGCAACGCCGCGUGAAGGAUGAAGUAUUUCGGUAUGUAAACUUCGAAAGAAUAGGAAGAAUAAAUGACGGUACUAUUUGUAAGGUCCGGCUAACUACGUGCCAGCAGCCGCGGUAAUACGUAGGGACCAAGCGUUGUUCGGAUUUACUGGGCGUAAAGGGCGCGUAGGCGGCAAUUCAAGUCAUCUGUGAAAUCUCCGGGCUUAACUCGGAACGGUCAGAUGAUACUGCUUUGCUAGAGUGCAGAAGGGGCAAUCGGAAUUCUUGGUGUAGCGGUGAAAUGCGUAGAUAUCAAGAGGAACACCUGAGGUGAAGACGGGUUGCUGGGCUGACACUGACGCUGAGGCGCGAAAGCCAGGGGAGCAAACGGGAUUAGAUACCCUGGUAGUCCCUGAGCGGGCUGGCAAGGCGCAU